AGAGGAUCUGCUCCUAGUACGAGAGGACCAGAGUGGACGAACCUCUGGUGUACCGGUUGUGACGCCAGUCGCAUCGCCGGGUAGCUAUGUUCGGAAGGGAUAACCGCUGAAAGCAUCUAAGCGGGAAGCCUACCUCAAGAUAAGAUUUCCCUAGGACUUUAUGUCCUCUAAAGAGCCGUUCGAGACUAGGACGUUGAUAGGUUGGAUGUGGAAGCAUAGUGAUAUGUGAAGCUGACCAAUACUAAUUGCUCGUGAGGCUUGACUAUACAACACCCAAGCAGUUG
rnacentral:rRNA from 2 species